UACAGAGGUCUCAAGCGUUAUUCGGAUUCAUUGGGCGUAAAGGGUGCGUAGGUGGCGCGCUAAGUCGGGUGUGAAAUCUCGGAGCUUAACUCCGAAAUUGCAUUCGAUACUGGCGUGCUUGAGGACUGGGAGAGGAGACUGGAAUUCAUGGUGUAGCAGUGAAAUGCGUAGAGAUCAUGAGGAAGACCAGUGGCGAAGGCGGGUCUCUGGACAGUUCCUGACACUGAGCACGAAGGCCAGGGGAGCAAACGGG
rnacentral:rRNA from 1 species